AGCUUUGCGCAGUGCCAGUAUCGUAGCCAAUGAGGUUUACCCAAGGCGUGAUUAUUGCUAAUUAAAGAAAGAAGCCCACACUGGGUGUGGUGCUACAUUUGUAAUCCCAGCACUCGG
rnacentral:snRNA from 1 species